rnacentral:tmRNA from 1 species
GGGGUCGACUGGUUUUGACAGCGAGUUGAACUGAUUUGUAAGCACGUCGUGUAAUGAUAUAGACCCACGUAAAAAGCUAGAUCAAACUUUAAACGGCGAGAAUAACUACGCUUUAGCUGCAUAAUCUGAAUUAUAGUAAGAUUAGCUUCGUUCCUACCAGGUAGGAAAGCUUUAUGUCUCUUGAAAGCCCUGGUUAACGGCGUUCUGUUCGAGGCAUCGUAAAUGUAAACCUAGAAAAUGUAAUGUUUCGAUACAUUUUUGAAACUAAAGAAACUAAGUUAUGAGUAUGCAGUUCUUAGUGAGCUCAUGAUCGAAAAUUAAAUAAGAACUAAGCGUGUAGAAAACCUUUUAGUGGCUUGUUUGGACGAGAGUUCGAUUCUCUCCGGCUCCACGA